rnacentral:rRNA from 1 species
UGCAGUCGAACGGCAGCACGGGAGCAAUCCUGGUGGCGAGUGGCGAACGGGUGAGUAAUGUAUCGGAACGUGCCCAGUCGUGGGGGAUAACGCAGCGAAAGCUGUGCUAAUACCGCAUACGAUCUAUGGAUGAAAGCGGGGGAUCGCAAGACCUCGCUCGCUUGGAGCGGCCGAUAUCAGAUUAGGUAGUUGGUGAGGUAAAGGCUCACCAAGCCGACGAUCUGUAGCUGGUCUGAGAGGACGACCAGCCACACUGGGACUGAGACACGGCCCAGACUCCUACGGGAGGCAGCAGUGGGGAAUUUUGGACAAUGGGCGCAAGCCUGAUCCAGCAAUGCCGCGUGCAGGACGAAGGCCUUCGGGUUGUAAACUGCUUUUGUACGGAGCGAAAAGGCUCUCUCUAAUACAGGGGGCUCAUGACGGUACCGUAAGAAUAAGCACCGGCUAACUACGUGCCAGCAGCCGCGGUAAUACGUAGGGUGCAAGCGUUAAUCGGAAUUACUGGGCGUAAAGCGUGCGCAGGCGGUUAUGUAAGACAGAGGUGAAAUCCCCGGGCUCAACCUGGGAACUGCCUUUGUGACUGCAUAGCUAGAGUACGGCAGAGGGGGAUGGAAUUCCGCGUGUAGCAGUGAAAUGCGUAGAUAUGCGGA